UGGGGGUUUAGCUCAGCUGGGAGAGCAUCUGCCUUACAAGCAGAGGGUCAGCGGUUCGAACCCGUUAACCCCCAUC
rnacentral:tRNA from 1 species